CAAGCUGCCAUUUAAGAAGAAAGAAGAAGAAAAGCACAUAAUGUGCCAGUUAAAGCUAGCAUAGGUGACUUUACCUACCUAUACAAACUAAUACUGUUUCUUUUUCAUACUGAUAGCAGUGUAGUUGGAUUUAACCUCCUUCUUACCAAUGUUUUGGACAAAGAUUCAUCAGACACGAGGUCAUGAUCCCUCACUGGCUUCCCACCAAGAACACACAACAUGCUGAAGCCCAGCGGCUAACCAUCUCAACAAUGACAGCGGACGGGGAGUCGACACACAAAGGCCUCCUCUGUGGAAGAGCAUGUUAAAGGGCCUCGUCUCUGCUGUGAUCAAUACAGAUUGGACAGUGAACGCGAAUCUCUGGAUGGAGAAAGGAAACAGAUUUGAUGUGAGGAGUAAAAGACACAGCAGAAUUCUGAGAUCCUCUGGGAUCCAUGAAGACGUCUCAGAGAACAUGAUGAGUAGUUUUGUCUCUGCAUUGGAUAAACCAUAUAAAAGGAUAUUUACGAGGGUAUUAAAGGCCUCCUUUAUAGGACAUUUAAUUCAGGGCUUCAGGAAUAAAUCAGAGUGCUGUAACACAGCAGCCACAGAUUUUAUGAGCAUAAUCCGGGUUUAUCUAAUCCAACCAAAUGUAACCGAAGCACACAGCAAACACUCAUUUUGGAGAGAACAGGCAGGUGUUGAACACAAUAUGUACUUUAUGCCGAUGAUGAUAUAAUCCUGUGUUAACCAAUAAAUACCAAUUAAUGAUGAAGCAAUAAAUACAGCUGACAUUUUUAGAUAAGUUUGCAUAGUUUUUGGUGCUCCAACUGAAAAAAGAAACUCUGAAAAUUGAUCUUCCCACUGUGGAAAAACUACAAGAAAGAGAUUAUGUCAUAAUCAGAAUAUAUGGGAAUAAAAGUGUAACCAGAUUACCGUUGA